GGUUUUAACCCUAUAACCUAUAACCAAGGUUAGCUGACGUUUCGAACUCUCGAAAGAGUGUGUCGAAUAAUUAAAAUUUUUGGAAACGCUUCUUCGGGGUUAUCCGGAGAGGCAGA
rfam:Caenorhabditis brenneri strain PB2801 C_brenneri-6.0.1_Cont396.1, whole genome shotgun sequence.